AGACGGGAUUCCUCAGCUCAGAUCACAACUAUAGAUGGAGACGAUCCAAGAUACCGAAGAGAUGAGAAUGAUCCAAAUGUUUCCAAUAAACGACGUCGAGGUUCCCUAGCUCACCUAGGAGAGAUGCUGCAGAACCUUGGCAGUAGCAAGGAUAAAAAUACAGGGAGUAGGAGAGGUAUACU